rnacentral:rRNA from 1 species
GACGAACGCUGGCGGCGUGCUUAACACAUGCAAGUCGAACGGAAAGGCCCUGCUUUUGUGGGGUGCUCGAGUGGCGAACGGGUGAGUAACACGUGAGUAACCUGCCCUUGACUUUGUGAUAACUUCAGGCAACUGGGGCUAAUACCGGAUAGGAGCUCCUGCUGCAUGGUGGGGGUUGGAAAGUUUCGGCGGUUGGGAUGGACUCGCGGCUUAUCAGCUUGUUGGUGGGGUAGUGGCAUACCAAGGCUUUGACGGGUAGCCGGCCUGAGAGGGUGACCGGCCACAUGGGGACUGAGAUACGGCGCAGACUCCUACGGGAGGCAGCAGUGGGGAAUAUUGCACAGUGGGGGGAAGCCUGAUGCGGCAACGCCGCGAGCGGAAAGACGUCCUACGGGUGGUAAACCGCUUUCGCCUGAGACGAAGCGGGAGUGACGUUAAUGAGUAAAGAAGCACCGGCUAACUACGUG